AUGGAACCAAGCCGCACUCUAAAUGCAAUGCAACACAAAUGGGAUGAAUUAAUCCAUGUGAUGUGACAUACAAAGCACCAAUCAAAUGACAAGGAUCCACUCAGCCGUUAUAUAAAGUCAAAUACUAAUGUGACAUAGUACCGCUGCCAAUUUUUCUCGUGAAACAGAAGUUGCUUUUUUUGAUGCUAUCUAGUUCUGCCUUUUUUUUUUAACCUGCUUUGCCUUUUUUGCAGAAUUAAGCUAUACUGAACUUAAGGCAGACAAUAGAUAUCAAAAACUCCGCUGUGAACACAGUCAGCUACUGUAACUUACAUUCUACUGUAAAUUACAUUUUUAUUAUUAUUUUACCAUAGUGUAAAGUGUAUGACAAUUUAUUUCAAAAGCACAUUGGUCAUGUUAAGGUUUGUGAUCUCUACUGGUGUGAGAGUACACAGCAGUUCUCCUGUAUAAGAGAGACGCCUCUAACAACGUUGAUCCACACCGUUUGUACUCUCAUACAUUUAAUAUGCACAUGGAAUACAAAGUGAUAGCUGCAAUAAAACAGUUGUACACCUUUUUGGCAAACUAAUGUCAAACAUUUAAAAACAAAUUUGAUGCAGCUUAAGAAAAAAAAUCAGUUCUCCAAAAGCAUCCUGUUUCUGUGGCUGGUGCUUUAAAUGGAAAGGAGCUUCUGUUUGUCACGCCCUCUUUUCCUUCACAGAGGGAGCGUUUCCAUGUGCCUCCCAGGAUCAGGAGUCCAGAUAUGGACUUCUGUUUUGUCACACAAAUUAUUUUAAAUCAAAUAGAUUUGAUUUAAAGUAGAAUUUCUACAUUCAUGUUCACAGAAUUGUGUGACAUUGGGAGUGUUUAAUAUCAAAUAUUUAUGUGAGACUGUAAAAAGCAGAUAAAAACAGGUUGUACAGAUGUGACUUUUAAGUGAGCAUCACUGAAUGUGAACAAAAUUUGAAUCAUUGAUGACUAAAGAGUCACAUUGAACAGACAAAUAAAAAGCCUGUGCUAACAGAAACCUGUGGUGAAAUGUGGCAAAGAAAAAUUUGAGGAAUUCCAUUGAUUAAUGUUGGAAUAGGAUGUAACCGGGAGCGAAUGUACUGCUGAUGAAUAUUAAUAGGUUUUGCAUUGUUUUGAAAAAUUUACUGGUUAGAGCUUGUACUUUCUAUUCCAAAUAGUUUCACUUUGACAUUAUAGAGAAGGUGAUUCCUGAAAACCUUCUAAAUGAUAAGUGGUUAUGACAACUAUGAAAUUUUCUAAAUGAAGUGAAAACCAGAACAGAGCUGGCACUGUGUUUUUACACAGCUGCAGUGAAAUACUGCAUUUCACAUUGAUGAGGUGAUGAAUGUGUCUUGUUUGAGCUUCUACGUACAUAUGAACAAUACUAACUUUAGAUCAUGCUCUUAACCAUCUGUUAUUUUGAUUGCAAAUGUAUGUUUUGCACAAACUUGCUUUCACAGAUUUUGGAUGUGUUCAGUCUCUGUGUGCCAUAUGAACACUCAACCAUGUUGCCAGAUAUGUGUGUGGAUAAGCAUGUAAUCCAACAAAAUGUUUCACAGAUGAUAGAAAUGUAUAUUUUUAACAGGUUCAUAUCUAUAUAAAGAACUGGGAUCAUUUUGUUUGAAUAAAUUCCUAUUUUGAUCAUAGAAUGCAGUGCAUGCUGAAUCUUUUCUGCACGCUGAAUUGGUGCUUUGUAAAGCACUGGCUUAUCAUAGCAAAGUGGGAAGAUUGAAAUAUUUGAAUGUCUGCUUUGUUGUUCCUCAGGUUUAACUACACUAUUAAUAGUUUUCUUAUGAUUGUUCAUCUUUCAUGUACAUUUUAUUUAAAGCAGCAGUGUGUAGGAUUUAAGGGAGUUUAUUAAGGUUCAUUUACCA